rnacentral:tRNA from 1 species
GGGGAUAUAGCUUAGUUGGUAGCAUGGCUUGUCUCCCAUGCAUAAGGCCCUGGGUUCAAUCCCCACCAUCCCCA